rnacentral:lncRNA from 1 species
UCACUCUCUCUCUCCUGCUGCAUUGUGAAGAAACUGCUUGCUUCCCUCUCACCCUCUGCAGUUUCCUGAGGCCUCCCCAGCCAUGCGGAACUGGUCUUGCUCUGUCACCCAGGCUGGAGUGCAGUGACACAAUCCUGGCUCAACCUCCUGGGCUCAAGAGAUCCUUCCACCUCGGCCUCCUGAGUAGCUGGGAUCACAGAACCUUCCACUGGUCACUCUCAGCUGAAAGGCAGCUGAUUCAGCACCUGGAGAAGACCGGCAACAGGGCUGAGUUUCCUUGCACUGAGGAAGAGGGGAGAGGCAAGGAGUGAACAUGAGCAUGGAGGAUCCAGGGCACUCCCUUGAUGGUGACGCCCUUGAAGGGCUGCCCCGUGCCCAUUGUACAGAAUGUGGAUUCCACCCCACGCCAUGAGAGUUCUUGCACAGGCCCAGACCACUUUAUAAGCCACAUUUCCCACUACUUCCUGUUUCUGGAUCUGUCAGGUUAUUUCAUACUUCUAGGCCCUUAGCUUUGCUUCCUCUUCCAUGAACGCCCUUUGCCCACAUCAUCCCAGCUCUCCUUCUCUUCCUGCCUUCUGUCUUCUCUUCCUCUCAUUUCUUGUCGCCCAGGCUGGAGUCCAGUGGCGUGAUCACGGCUCACUACAGCCUUGAACUCCCGGGCUCAGGUGAUCCUCCCACCUGAGCCUCCCGAGUAGCUGGGACUACAGAUGCACACCACCAUGCCAGCUAAUUUUUAAAAUUGUUUUUAGGGAUGGGGUCAUCUUCCUAUGUUGCCCAGGCUUGUCUCAAACUCCUGGGCUCAAGUGAUCUCUCACCUCAGCCUUCCAAAGUGCUGGGAUUACAGGCAUGAGCCACCACAUCCAGCCCCUUUUCUCUUUUCUUACCCUUCUUUCCUAUUUUCUUUUCCAUUUUCUUUCCUUCCCUUCUUCUUUCUUUCCUAACUAUUAAGGAGUAGAUUGAAUUCAAGGUCUUUAUGUGUGUCAGUUUUUGUUUUCCAACAAAUAUUUCUUAAAAACCAACCAUUAAAACAUAAUGGUAACCACUGGCCCCUGUCUCCACCUCCACAUCUAAGAAGCCCCAAAUCUAGAUGUGUCCAUUAAAAUCAGUCAGAUCUUCUUUACC